UUCAAAGCACAAUUACACUUUUUUCGUUUCGAUGACCUGACUUCAUCCUGUGCAACAGAGCUGCAGAGGAAACUGCGAUUAAAGAGCAAAGAAUGCUCUGUACUUGAGGAAAUAUAUGAGGAGGUGAAGACUGAAAUUUCACAGAAAAUUGUAGAACGCAACAGAACCGGAAACUCCCAAACAGCACUCAUUCUGAAUGUGAUAAACCUGCAUGAUGAUCUGACUACUCUGAGGGAUCUGAUCUCCACCACAGAAAAAUCCAGACAGGAUCUCAGAGCUGCAGAGGCAACUGGAAGAGAAGCAAGAAGAACUGAACUCCAAGAAUGCCGACAUAGAGAAACUGAUUGCCAAUCCAAAAAGAAUUUUAACAAUCACCAAGCUGCAAAAUGAGAUAUGGGCCCUUCAGAAAAAGGCUGGCAAUGAUACCACUGGUGGCCGUGGAGAAG